rfam:Fusarium langsethiae strain Fl201059 Fl201059_contig62, whole genome shotgun sequence.
CUGUAUGAUGAUCAAAACGACACCAGGGAUUCCUCAUUCUUAAUAUAUAAUGUCGAUACUGUUGUAUUUAGUUUCAGCCUUGUCUGACU